rnacentral:rRNA from 1 species
UACGUAGGUGGCUAGGGUUAUCCGGAUUUACUGGGCGUAAAGAGCGCGUAGGCGGCUCUUCAAGUCGGAUGUAAAAUCUCCCGGCUUAACUGGGAGGGAUCAUUCGAUACUGUUGAGCUCGAGGGCAGCAGAGGAAAGCGGAAUUCCCGGUGUAGUGGUGAAAUUCGUGGAUAUCCGGAGGAACACCGGUGGCGAAGGCGGCUUCCUGGCAUGUAACUGACGCUCAGGUGCGAAAGCGUGGGUAGCAAAC